rnacentral:lncRNA from 1 species
CCUGCUGUCUACCCCUCUCCUCUGUUUCUGGCUGAGUUUCCAGCUUAUGAGGUAGAGAUGGCUGGAGAAACCAUGUCAAGAAAGAGGGACCCUAAGAAUGAGCCUCCACAAGCAAAGAGAAGCCUUUGAUAACAUUAACCUGAUGCCUAGGGUCUCAGAAGAAACCAGUUUUGAGAUAGGGCACAAGCUGUGUUGGCAAAAGCUGGUAAAACACUGCUAACAGGCAGAGAAACCAUACAUUCA